AUUGAACGCUGGCGGCAGGCCUAACACAUGCAAGUCGAACGGAUCCUUCGGGAUUAGUGGCGGACGGGUGAGUAACGCGUGGGAACAUACCCAAAGGUACGGAAUAGCCUCGGGAAACUGGGAGUAAUACCGUAUGUGCUCGAAAGAGGAAAGAUUUAUCGCCUUUGGAUUGGCCCGCGUUGGAUUAGGUAGUUGGUGGGGUAAUGGCCUACCAAGCCAACGAUCCAUAGCUGGUUUGAGAGGAUGAUCAGCCACACUGGGACUGAGACACGGCCCAGACUCCUACGGGAGGCAGCAGUGGGGAAUCUUAGACAAUGGGGGAAACCCUGAUCUAGCCAUGCCGCGUGAUCGAUGAAGGCCUUAGGGUUGUAAAGAUCUUUCAGGUGGGAAGAUAAUGACUGUACCACCAGAAGAAGCCCCGGCUAACUCCGUGCCAGCCGCCGCAGUAA
rnacentral:rRNA from 1 species